rnacentral:misc_RNA from 1 species
CGAUUGAAUUAAGGCACGCCUCUCCCCGCUUGCGGGGAGAGGCGGAUGAGGGCAGGCGACCGCGCGGAUCACCUUGGCGAUCUUGUCCAUGAUCUCGCCGACCUGGCUUUCCGAGAUGAUCAGGGGCGGGGUCAGGCAGAGGGUAUCGCCGGCCACGCGCAUCAUCAGCUCGUGGUCAUGGAACGCCGAGUCCAGCGCCUCGAAGCCGCGCUUGCCGGGCCCUUCCUUGUUGGGCGCGAGAUCAAUGC